rnacentral:rRNA from 1 species
GACAGAGGGUGCAAGCGUUGUUCGGAAUUAUUGGGCGUAAAGGGCGCGUAGGUGGCCUUGUAAGUCAGAUGUGAAAGCUCUGGGCUUAACCCAGAAAGUGCAUCUGAUACUGCUCGGCUUGAGUCUCGGAGAGGAUGGUGGAAUUCCCAGUGUAGAGGUGAAAUUCGUAGAUAUUGGGAGGAACACCGGUGGCGAAGGCGACCAUCUGGACGAAGACUGACACUGAGGCGCGAAAGCGUGGGGGAGCAAACAGG